GGAAGUAAAAGUCGGUAACAAGGUUUCCGUAGGUGAACCUGCGGAAGGAUCAUUAUUGUAUAACCGAGGUGCGAGGGCUGUCGCUGACCCGAAAGGUCGUGCACGCCCGAGUGCCCUCACACACAUCCAUCUCACCCCUAUGUGCACCACCGCGUGGGUCCCCCUUUGGCUUGUUCGGAGGGGGGCUUACGUUUUCACACAAACUUUGUAUGCAGUGUAGAAUGUAUUUUUUGUUUUUGCGAUCACGCAAUCAAUACAACUUUCAACAACGGAUCUCUUGGCUCUC
rnacentral:misc_RNA from 1 species